CACCCCCUGAACGAGUGCCCCGGUGUUGCCGUCGCUGUCGUUGUUUUCGUCGCCGCUGCAACCGCAACGAACGCCGCGGAGCCCGGGCUAGAAAACAUCUCCGGUCUCCGUCCGUCUCUCACCACAACCUCCUCGCUCCCAGGACAGCGCCGCCCGGCGAUUGGCUGCGACGCGGGCACGUGACUCGGCGGGCACGGGACGGGCGGCGUGAGCGCCCCGCCCCCGGCGCCCGCCCGCCCCUUCCGCCGGCCCCUCCCCGCGGCCCCCGCCGCUCUCUCAGCGCCGCGGAGAAGCUUCCCGAGCCGCGGGGCGGAGGAGGCGGAAGGUACCAAGUAGGGGGCGGCGGGGGUGCGGGCCGGAACUCCUUGUCCUCGCCCCACCCAGGCGUCGCCGUCUGCCUCGCGGUCGCCGGGCCCUAGCCGGAGGGGGGAUCUAGGGAAGCGCCGGAAAGCCGCGCGGGCUCCGCAGACGCUGCGGGGCCACACGGCUCUGCCGUCGCUCUUUGUGCGGACCGUGGCCGUAGCUGUGACUGGAAACUUCUGGAAAUGGCGGCGGCGGCGAAGAAGAGGCUGAACGCAGGGUAUCCACAGGUUAUUUUUGCAGGGCGGGUGGGCGAGUUUGUGAGGUGGGACCCCGGAAAAUGUGUGCCGGACGCAGAGGCGAGGCGUGUCCCCCGUAAAUUCGCGGCUGCAGACGGCUGGGCCGGGGCGCCCGGAGAGCGGGGCGCGGCGGCGCGCGGCGGGGUCCGUGCGCCACUGCGCUUGCGCCCCGGAGAGGCCCGGACGCGUGUCGGGAACUCGGCUGGGCCGCGGCGCGCCCGCCACACCUGCGCCGGUUAACGUGCACCUGCUGCGCGCACCCCGCGAACCCCACCGUGCCGCUCUCCCAGUCACACCUCGCAGGGACCUGCUUUCAGAGACAGGGGUGUCCACAUCCGAGGUAGUAUGUCAGAGGGAACUGCUCAAGUAUCGGAGAGGCGUGCGUGAGGAGCAUUCACGGCCUCGGCCUACCGGCAGCGGGUACUGUUACUUGUGGACGCCUUUUAUUUACAUCGAGUUAACCUGCGACAGUUUGUACAUGGCUUUAUUUAGCCACCAAAGGAGUCACACGAAUUGGACGGAAACCACCUCCCUAGUCGUUAAUAGCGGACUCUACAGCACCUGUGACUUAAUGGAGUUACAAAUUUGUCACUACAGAUAUUUUUCAGCCCUGACACAAAGUUAA
rnacentral:lncRNA from 12 species